rnacentral:rRNA from 1 species
UACAGAGGGUGCGAGCGUUGUUCGGAAUUAUUGGGCGUAAAGGGUCCGUAGGCGGUGUAGCAAGUCGAUAGUGAAAUCUCUGGGCUUAACCCAGAGGCUGCUAACGAAACUGCUGUGCUAGAGUGUGAGAGAGGCGAGUGGAAUUACGGGUGUAGCGGUGAAAUGCGUAGAUAUCCGUAGGAACAUCCGAGGCGAAGGCGGCUCGCUGGAUCACAACUGACGCUGAGGGACGAAAGCUAGGGGAGCAAACAGG